GUUUCCAUGGUGUAAUCCAGCACAUUAGAUUUUCAUUCUAAAGGAAUAAAAUUAUUUAUUGGGAAUA
rnacentral:tRNA from 1 species